GUGAGCUUUGAUGGUGCUGGAGCCCCCAGUUUAUCAAUAGCAUAAACGUUCUUUGACCUAGUAUUGAGUACUGGGGUGAAAACUAAGAGAUCUACCAAGUACCAGCUUGGGAUUCUUACCUAAUCCCCGUUCACUUUACCCCGCUCUGCUUUUCCCACGUUCCAGAGCCUUUGGCUAAUAUUCCACUAUCACUAUCACAUCUGGGACUAUCCUGCAAACCAUCGUGUUUAUCCUGCUUCAUUCAGAGUACAACAAUUACCUUUGGAGCAGGACACAGGAUGGCGUGGUGACAACUGGGGGCUCACGGAGAUGUCUCUGGCAGCUGUACAAGCAGCUGCACCAGAGCAAUGGGAAUACUAUGAUUUGUCUGGAAGAGGUUGGGAAAACUGAUGCCAGCCCUUGAAAAGAGGAUCUCUACUUUGUGCGUACUAGGAGUUGGCCAUCUACAACUAUAGCUAGCUACACUGAUACAGCAAAAGCAG
rnacentral:lncRNA from 1 species